GACGAACGCUGGCGGCGUGCCUAAUACAUGCAAGUUGAGCGAUGAAGGUUGGUACUUGUCCCAAUUGGAAGAGCAGCGAACGGGUGAGUAACGCGUGGGGAAUCUGCCUUUGAGCGGGGGACAACAUUUGGAAACGAAUGCUAAUACCGCAUAAUAACUUUAAACAUAAGUUUUAAGUUUGAAAGAUGCAAUUGCAUCACUCAAAGAUGAUCCCGCGUUGUAUUAGCUAGUUGGUGAGGUAAAGGCUCACCAAGGCGAUGAUACAUAGCCGACCUGAGAGGGUGAUCGGCCACAUUGGGACUGAGACACGGCCCAAACUCCUACGGGAGGCAGCAGUAGGGAAUCUUCGGCAAUGGACGAAAGUCUGACCGAGCAACGCCGCGUGAGUGAAGAAGGUUUUCGGAUCGUAAAACUCUGUUGGUAGAGAAGAACGUUGGUGAGAGUGGAAAGCUCAUCAAGUGACGGUAACUACCCAGAAAGGGACGGCUAACUACGUG
rnacentral:rRNA from 1 species